UAGCUCAGCUGGAUAGAGCAACGGCCUUCUAAGCCGUCGGUCGGGGGUUCGAAUCCCUC
rnacentral:tRNA from 1 species